rnacentral:rRNA from 1 species
GACAGAGGGUGCAAACGUUGUUCGGAAUUACUGGGCGUAAAGCGCGUGUAGGCGGCUUGGCAAGUCGGGUGUGAAAGCCCCGGGCUCAACCUGGGAAGUGCACUCGAAACUGCUUGGCUUGAGUACUGGAGAGGGAAGCGGAAUUCUCGGUGUAGAGGUGAAAUUCGUAGAUAUCGAGAGGAACACCGGCGGCGAAGGCGGCUUCCUGGACAGUUACUGACGCUGAGACGCGAAAGCGUGGGGAGCAAACAGG